rnacentral:misc_RNA from 1 species
AGCAGCCGCGGUAAUUCCAGCUCCAAUAGCGUAUAUUAAAGUUGUUGCAGUUAAAAAGCUCGUAGUUGAAUUUCGGGAUCAGUUGGUCGGUCGUGCCUCGGUACGUACUGGUCAAAUUGAUUCCUACCUUCUGACGAACCACGAUGUCAUUAAUUUGGUGUCGCGGGAAAUCAGGACUGUUACUUUGAAAAAAUUAGAGUGUUUAGAGCAGGCUCGCGCUUGAAUACAUUAGUAUGGAAUAAUGAAAUAGGACGUUUGAUUCUAUUUUGUUGGUUUCUAGGAUCGACGUAAUGAUUAAUAGGGAUAGUUGGGGGCAUUAGUAUUCAAUUGUCAGAGGUGAAAUUCUUGGAUUUAUUGAAGACUAACUACUGCGAAAGCAUUUGCCAAGGAUGUUUUCAUUAAUCAAGAACGAAAGUUAGGGGAUCGAAGACGAUCAGAUACCGUCGUAGUCUUAACCAUAAACUAUGCCGACUAGGGAUCGGAUGAUGUUAAUUUUUUAAUGACUCAUUCGGCGCCUUAA